rnacentral:lncRNA from 1 species
AUUUUAUUUAAUCUCAGCCGUUUAGGUUUUUAACAUUCUGUCUGAAGAAAUGAAUAGAACUCAUAAAACACUUUUGCAUACAGAAGCAGGAUGGAUGUCCUGGGGAGAAGCGCCUGUAGGAUAGUUUGGAUUGUGAGCUGACUAGCCACUUUUUGUCAUGGAACAUCAUUUUUGCUUGAAAAAGAGUGAAUGAUAUACUAACCAUGGUAAUUCUUUAUGAUAAAAUGAGCCAGAUAAAAUUUGAGCUUUCAAGUGAAAAUCAGAAUUUUAAAAAAUUUGUAUAUACUCUGAGCUUGGCAGCUUUGUGAUAACUACAGACUUUUCUGAUGAAAUUGGUGAUAUUACAGAAUAUGACUUUUUAUAUUUAUAUAAUGAAAUGUGUCAACAUUUGUAAGAUCUGUAAAACUCAAUGAACUUAAACUCAGCGAACUAAAUAUUAUUUAAAUGACCAGUGCAUGAUAUUGCAAAAUGAUGCCUAGAAAAGGUCCAUCCUAAGUGCAAGAUAGACUGAUGGACCUUUUUUCUGCCCUGUCCCCCCAUUCCCAGGCAACCACAGAUUUGUUUUCAGUUACUGUACAUUUAAUUUGUGUUUUGUUGGUGAUCUUCACUGAAGCUUUAUAUUAAUAGUUGGAGAAAUUAUGUAGAAGCUUCUUCUGUUAAAUUGCAAUAAUCAUCAACAUCAUUAUAAUGUAAGCUAUAUGUUGAGCUCUGCCACAGUGUUUUCUCAUUCAUUUUCUUUCCUUUCCUUCAUGGGCUUACUAUUAUCUGAAAUUACUUGAU